GGGCCCGCACAAGCGGUGGAGUAUGUGGUUUAAUUCGAUGCAACGCGAAGAACCUUACCAGGGUUUGACAUCCUGCGAAUCUCUUGGAAACGAGAGAGUGCCUUCGGGAACGCAGUGACAGGUGGUGCAUGGCUGUCGUCAGCUCGUGUCGUGAGAUGUUGGGUUAAGUCCCGCAACGAGCGCAACCCACGUCUUUAGUUGCCAGCAUUUAGUUGGGCACUCUAGAGAGACUGCCGGUGAUAAGCUGGAGGAAGGCGGGGAUGACGUCAAGUCCUCAUGGCCCUUACGGUCUGGGCUACACACGUGCUACAAUGGUGGUGACAGUGGGCAGCAAUACUGCAAAGUAAAGCUAAAUCCCAAAAAACCAUCUCAGUUCGGAUUGGACUCUGCAACUCGAGUCCAUGAAGUUGGAAUCGCUAGUAAUCGUAGAUC
rnacentral:rRNA from 1 species